rfam:Myotis brandtii contig206169, whole genome shotgun sequence.
GCUGUGGUGGCUCAGUGGAUUGAGCAUCAUCCCAUGGACCAAGAGGUCCUGGAUUCAAUUCCCAGUCACAGCA